CAUCUAGCGAGAAAUAAGUGACCCGUACCCGAAACCGACACAGGUGGUCAGGUAGAGAAUACCAAGGCGAUCGAGAAAAUUAUGGAUAAGGAACUCGGCAAAAUGCCCCCGUAACUUCGGGAGAAGGGGGGCCCUUUGGCGUGUAGGAGUUUUCCUCCGAAGCGUCGGAAGGCCGCAGAGACCAGGCUCAAGCGACUGUUUACCAAAAACACAGGUCCGUGCGAAGUAGCAAUACGAUGUAUACGGACUGACGCCUGCCCGGUGCUGGAAGGUUAAGGGGACUGGUUAGCCGCAAGGCGAAGCUGAGAACUUAAGCCCCAGUAAACGGCGGUGGUAACUAUAACCAUCCUAAGGUAGCGAAAUUCCUUGUCGGGUAAGUUCCGACCUGCACGAAUGGCGUAACGACUUGAGCGCUGUCUCAUCCGUAAACUCGGCGAAAUUGCAGUACGAGUAAAGAUGCUCGUUACGCGCAGAAAGACGGAAAGACCCCGGGACCUUUACUAUAUCUUGAUAUUGGUGUUCGGAACGGUUUGUGUAGCAUAGGUGGGAGACUUUGAAGCGGGCACGCCAGUGUUUGUGGAGUCGCCAUUGAAAUACCACUCUGAUCGUUUUGAACUUCUAACCUCGGUCCAUAAUCUGGAUCAGGGACAGUGUCUGGUGGGUAGUUUGACUGGGGCGGUCGCCUCCUAAAAAGUAACGGAGGCGCUCAAAGGUUCCCUCAGCCUGGUUGGCAAUCAGGUGUCGAGUGUAAGUGCACAAGGGAGCUUAACUGUGAGACAGACAUGUCGAGCAGGUGCGAAAGCAGGAACUAGUGAUCCGGCGGUGGCUUGUGGAAGCGCCGUCGCUCAACGGAUAAAAGGUACCCCGGGGAUAACAGGCUGAUCUUGCCCAAGAGUCCAUAUCGACGGCAAGGUUUGGCACCUCGAUGUCGGCUCGUCUCAUCCUGGGGCUGGAGUAGGUCCCAAGGGUUGGGCUGUUCGCCCAUUAAAGAGGCACGCGAGCUGGGUUCAGAACGUCGUGAGACAGUUCGGUCCCUAUCUUCUGUGCGCGUAAGAAACUUGAGAAGGGCUGACCCUAGUACGAGAGGACCGGGUCGGACGAACCUCUGGUGUGUCGGUUGUUCCGCCAGGAGCACCGCCGAUUAGCUACGUUCGGAAGGGAUAACCGCUGAAAGCAUCUAAGCGGGAAGCUCGCUUCAAGAUUAGGUUUCUCAUUGGUUUACCAAGUAAGGCCCCCAAUAGACUAUUGGGUUGAUAGGGCGGAAGUGGAAGAGUCGCAAGACUUGGAGCUGACCGCUACUAAUAGGCCGAGGAUUUAACUAC
rnacentral:rRNA from 1 species